rnacentral:rRNA from 1 species
UACAGGGGGGGCAAGCGUUGUUCGGAAUUACUGGGCGUAAAGGGCUCGUAGGUGGCCAACUAAGUCAGACGUGAAAUCCCUCAGCUUAACUGGGGAACUGCGUCUGAUACUGGAUGGCUUGAGUUUGGGAGAGGGAUGCGGAAUUCCAGGUGUAGCGGUGAAAUGCGUAGAUAUCUGGAGGAACACCGGUGGCGAAGGCGGCAUCCUGGACCAAUCCUGACGCUGAGGAGCGAAAGCCAGGGGAGCAAACGGG